UUGAGAAUAAGAAGAGACUGUUUUGAUUGGAAACAGAUAGGCUGUAUGACCUGCUAAAGGAUGUGCAUCAGGGAUUUAAGUUAACAGAGGAGGACAGGCUGUAAAUAGAUCAAUGAAAAUCAGAUUUACUGGGCGAUCUCAUUACAAAAUUUUCAGUAGAGAAAAAGCAUGUUUUUGAUUUUUUUCCUAAAGGUCUUGGAAUUUAAUCUGGAGAUCAAACACUCUUUUUAAAGUCUUGCUUUUGCUGGGUAUUAGCUCAUGAUUCUUGUCUUACUCAUGCGUAUCAUACCUGCAGCAGGUGGCUAUUUUCUGAAGGAGAAAUAGUUGUUCAGAAGGCAAUUGUGGAAGUUGUUUUGUUACAUUUUCUAUGUUAAAUUGGUAUGGCAAAGUCGGUCAAAGAAGCCUUUGGAAGCUGGUUGGGUCAAAGUAACAACAAAGAGCUCAGAGAGAUGUGGUAGGCUAUCCCUCCAUGUGUGCGGUGGACCAUUUGGAAGAAAGAAAUCAAAGGGCGUUUGUGGGUGUGACAGAUUUACAAGUGGGUCAAUUAGGGAUGUUUUUCGAGUAAUAGUGAAGAAAGAUGGAUACAGAAGUCUCAUGAGAGGGUGGAUGCCAAGGAUGCUCUUCCAUGCUCCUGCUGCUGCCAUUUGCUGGUCGACAUAUGAGGCUGGCAAAUCCUUCUUUCAAGAGCUGCAUACUACCAGCAGUGGUGUGACCUGAGUACUGAAUACGCCAGCAGUAGUGUAACCUUUAGAAGAGGUAUCAUUUCUCAACUGUUGUAUUCUGCAUACAUCUUCUGUGAUUGAAGACGACUUUCUACUGUGAUGGAAGACGACUUCUACUUGCUGGGAGAGUUGAGACACGAAAAUAGAGGAGAGCAAACUCCGUGUAGCAGUAUGUAUACGGGCGCAGUCGUAUGCCAUUUAUUUAGUCUUGUAACUUAUUCAAUUCUAAUAAAUUGGUAUAAUUGAGUAUCCCCUUUAGCAUCGUUAACUGCAUUAGUUGCGCGGAAAUCCAUUGUACCUGCUUUGGAGAUUCUCAUGGAAAAGUAGGGUCCACUGUGGAAAACUGAAGAAAAUCUUGAUUAUUCAUUGAUCACCACUGAUGUUUGGUGCUCUGAAAGAGAACUGUACCAUUUUCAUUCCUGUGGCAUUAUUUUGCUUCACCCUUA